rnacentral:lncRNA from 1 species
GCCGUCACAGCGGAGGUCGGCGGCAGAGGAGGGCCACUCUCCCGGGUUCGGAGAUGCAAGGCCGGCGGUCGGUUGUGAUCGCCAGCGCCGGAAAAUCAAAGGGAAGAAGAGGCCAAAACAGGGGUCUCUUUUCCGACCAAAAAUCGACGACACCCAUCGCCGGCAGUCGCGCACAAAGGCACGGAAAGAAGGGGAAAGA